CCUACGGUAGGCAGCCGUGGGGAAUAUUGGGCAAUGGGCGCAAGCCUGACCCAGCAACGCCGCGUGAAGGAAGAAGGCUUUCGGGUUGUAAACUUCUUUUCUGAGGGACGAAGAAAGUGACGGUACCUCAGGAAUAAGCCACGGCUAACUACGUGCCAGCAGCCGCGGUAAUACGUAGGUGGCAAGCGUUAUCCGGAUUUAUUGGGUGUAAACGGCGUGUAGGCGGGAAAGCAAGUCAGAUGUGAAAACUCAGGGCUCAACCCUGAGCCUGCAGUUGAAACUGUUUUUCUUGAGUGCUGGUGAGGCAAUCGGAAUUCCGGGUGUAGCGGUGAAAUGCGUAGAUAUACGGAGGAACACCAGUGGCGAAGGCGGAUUGCUGGACAGUAACUGACGCUGAGGCGCGAAAGCGUGGGGAGCAAACAGGAUUAGAUACCCCAGUAGUC
rnacentral:rRNA from 1 species